GUAAAUGUAGCUUAAUCCAAAGCAAAGCACUGAAAAUGCUUAGAUGGACUUCAACACAGUCCCAUAGACA
rnacentral:tRNA from 1 species